UAGUAGUUAAUCAUAAUCAAACUCUGUGGAAUACGACCUUACUUACCUAUAUACUCAAUUGCACCCGUACAUUUGCGACGUGUUAAUAAAUAAGCGAACAAGUUUUUGGCGUUGUUGUCGGGGAUUGAUUUAUUUUUGAUACUAUAUGUGAAUUGUUAAUUUGGAUUUUUAUUUUUAUUAUUUUAUUUUUGUUCUUUAUUUUUUUCUUUUGGUUCUGAUUUUGGCUCUAGAAUUUUCCAGGUAUUGCAUGAACACAAGAUCUCGGAGUCUACCUUUCGCAGAUUUUGAUCCUGAGAUUGAAGCUUAUUGUCGUCGUAACAACAGUUAUAGUAACAGAGUCAAGCUAGGAUCAAUGGCAACACAUGAAGAAGUCCGUGCUCUAAAAGAACAGCUGCAGCGUUUGUUGGACGCACAGGAUAAUCUUGAGGCUCAUAAACAACCUCCUAUCAAUGAAGCUUUCACUCC
rnacentral:lncRNA from 1 species